rnacentral:rRNA from 1 species
UACGUAGGUUGCGAGCGUUGUCCGGAUUUACUGGGCGUAAAGCGCGCGCAGGCGGUCUCGAAAGCCCACCGUGAAAGCUCUCGGCCCAACUGAGAGAGGCCGGUGGGAACUUCGGGACUUGAAGGCGGGAGAGGCAGAUGGAAUUUCCGGUGUAGCGGUAAAAUGCGUAGAUACCGGAAGGAACACCAGUGGCGAAGGCGAUCUGCUGGCCCGCACUUGACGCUCAGGCGCGAAAGCUAGGGUAGCGACCGGGAUUAGAUACCCCGUUAGUCCUAGCCGUAAACAAUGGUCACUAGGUGUUGUCGGUAUCGACCCCGGCAGUGCCGAAGCUAACGCAUUAAGUGACCCGCCUGGGGAGUACGACCGCAAGGUUAAA